rnacentral:rRNA from 1 species
UCUUGGGUUGUAAACCUCUUUUCUGAGGGAAUAAGAUUGAAGGUACCUCAGGAAUAAGCAUCGGCUAACUCCGUGCCAGCAGCCGCGGUAAUACGGAGGAUGCAAGCGUUAUCCGGAAUGAUUGGGCGUAAAGCGUUCGUAGGCGGCUGCUCAAGUCUGCUGUUAAAGAGUCUGGCUUAACCAGAUAAAGGCAGUGGAAACUGGGCAGCUAGAGUGAGGUAGGGGCAGAGGGAAUUCCUGGUGUAGCGGUGAAAUGCGUAGAUAUCAGGAAGAACACCGGUGGCGAAAGCGCUCUGCUGGACCACAACUGACGCUGAGGGACGAAAGCUAGGGGAGCGAAUGGGAUUA